rnacentral:misc_RNA from 1 species
CUGUCGCAGCAGUUAUGACCCCCUGGACUUCCCCUGUUCAUCAGGGGGAUCCCAGGGGACGGUGGACUCCCCCUGAUGAACAGGGGGAGUCCGGUCAAUGAUGUUGGAUGAACUGCGACCUGUAACACAAAUAACAAAUAAAUAAUUAGUUAACGCAAUGCAUGACUUAAUGUAUGACCUAUCAUGUAUCCUAAUGUAUAACUUGUUCUAUGAUUCAGUGAUAUAAGUAUAUAAGACGUUUGAAUUAUAAUAAAUUAUACCAAGUAAUG